rnacentral:rRNA from 1 species
GAUGAACGCUGGCGGCGUGCCUAACACAUGCAAGUCGAGCGAAGCGGGGACGGGUGAGUAACACGUGGAUAACCUCCUAUAAGACUGGGUUAACUUCGGGAAACCGGAGUUAAACCGGAAGCUUAAAGAUGGAGCCGCGCUGCAUUAUCUAGUUGGUAAGGUAACGGCUUACCAAGGCAACGAUGCAUAGCCGACCUGAGAGGGUGAUCGGCCACACUGGAACUGAGACACGGUCCAGACUCCUACGGGAGGCAGCAGUAGGGAAUCUUCCGCAAUGGGCGAAAGCCUGACGGAGCAACGCCGCGUGUGUGAUGAAGGUCUUCGGAUCGUAAAACUCUGUUAUUAGGGAAGCGGUACCUAAUCAGAAAGCCACGGCUAACUACGUGCCAGCCGCCGCGGUAAUAC